rnacentral:rRNA from 1 species
CCCUUAGAUGUUCUGGGCCGCACGCGCGCUACACUGUUCGACGCAGCGAGUCUUAACCUUGACCGAAAGGUUUGGGUAAUCUUCAGCAAAGUCGAACGUGAUGGGGAUCGAUCAUUGCAGUUAUUGAUCGUGAACGAGGAAUUCCUAGUAAGUGCAAGUCAUCAGCUUGCGCUGAUUACGUCCCUGCCCUUUGUACACACCGCCCGUCGCUACUACCGAUUGAAUGGUUUAGUGAGAUCUCUGGAUUGACGCUGGCUAGGGGGCGACCCUUGGCCAGGCUGUCGAGAAACUGCUCAAACUUGAUCAUUUAGAGGAAGUAAAAGUCGUAACA